rnacentral:rRNA from 1 species
UACGAAGGGGGCUAGCGUUGUUCGGAAUUACUAGGCGUAAAGCGCACGUAGGCGGAUAUUUAAGUCAGGGGUGAAAUCCCAGAGCUCAACUCUGGAACUGCCUUUGAUACUGGGUAUCUUGAGUAUGGAAGAGGUAAGUGGAAUUGCGAGUGUAGAGGUGAAAUUCGUAGAUAUUCGCAGGAACACCAGUGGCGAAGGCGGCUUACUGGUCCAUAACUGACGCUGAGGUGCGAAAGCGUGGGGAGCAACAGG